rnacentral:sRNA from 1 species
AUUCCCUUUCAGGAUGCUCCUACAGCAGCUGCCUAAUACUCUCAGUUGCAGUCAGAUGUUGGCUGGGACCACAGUCAUCUAAGGAUACUGCUCAAGCUGGCUGUUGUCUGGAAACUCAGCUGGGGCUACUGAUCAGAGCACCUGCAUGUGGCUGUCCAGCAAGGCAAUGUUAAGGUCCCAUCCAGAUCUACUGAAUCAUAAUCUCCAGAAGUGAGAUCCAGAACCUGCAUUUUCAGGCUGGGAAUCUUGGAAAAUCAGGACUCAGAGUUUCUUGCUUGGGUCUUGGAACAUGGGUGACGUUUGGAGGUCAAAUUUCAGAUGAGGUUGCUGAACGGCUGAUGACCAUCGCCUAUGAAAGUGGUGUUAACCUCUUUGAUACUGCCGAAGUCUAUGCUGCUGGAAAGGCUGAAGUGAUUCUGGGGAGCAUCAUCAAGAAGAAAGGCUGGAGGAGGUCCAGUCUGGUCAUAACAACCAAACUCUACUGGGGUGGAAAAGCUGAAACAGAAAGAGGGCUGUCAAGAAAGCAUAUUAUUGAAGGAUUGAAGGGCUCCCUCCAGAGGCUGCAGC